UACGAAGGGAGCUAGCGUUGUUCGGAAUCACUGGGCGUAAAGCGCACGUAGGCGGAUGUGUCAGUCAGGGGUGAAAUCCCGGAGCUCAACUUCGGAACUGCCCUUGAUACAGCACGUCUUGAGUCCGGAAGAGGUGGGUGGAAUUCCUAGUGUAGAGGUGAAAUUCGUAGAUAUUAGGAAGAACACCAGUGGCGAAGGCGACUUACUGGACACAUAUUGACGCUGAGGUGCGAAAGCGUGGGGAGCAAACAGG
rnacentral:rRNA from 1 species